UACGUAGGGGGCGAGCGUUGUCCGGAGUACUGGGCGUAAAGCGCACGCAGGCGGUCUGCUAAGUUUGGAGUGACAGUUGGUGGCUUAACUGCCAAAGUGCUUCGAAAACUGACAGACUUGAGGGCUUCAGAGGGACACGGAAUUCCGGGUGGAGUGGUGAAAUGCGCAGAUAUCAGGAGGAACACCGGUGGCGAAGGCGGGUCUCUGGGCCGAUACUGACGCUGAGGAGCGAAAGCGUGGGGAGCGAACAGG
rnacentral:rRNA from 1 species